UGAAGGUCCGAGCGUUAUUCGGAAUCACUGGGCUUAAAGCGUACGCAGGCGGAUUUGUAGGUAUCUUGUGAAAUCCCACGGCUCAACCGUGGAACUGCAGGGUAAACCACAAAUCUUGAGACAAGUAGGGGUUAGUGGAACGAUAUGUGGAGCGGUGAAAUGCGUAGAUAUAUAUCGGAACGCCAAUGGCGAAGGCAGCUAACUGGGCUUUGUCUGACGCUCAGGUACGAAAGCGUGGGUAGCGAACGGGAUUAGAUACCCCGGUAGUCCACGCCGUAAACGAUGCACACUAGGUCGCGGUACCUCUCAUGGUUUCGCGGCCGAAGGUAAACUGGUAAGUGUGCCGCCUGGGGAGUACGGUCGCAAGGCUAAAACUCAAAGGAAUUGACGGGGGCUCACACAAGCGGUGGAGCAUGUUGCUUAAUUCGAGGCAACGCGAAGAACCUUACCUAGGCUUGACAUGUAUGGAUUAGCAUUAUGAAAGUUUUGUGACACUCUUGAGUGGAACAUACACAGGUGCUGCAUGGCUGUCGUCAGCUCGUGCUGUGAAGUGUCGGGUUAAGUCCCUUAACGAGCGCAACCCCUAUCGUUAGUUACUAACGCGUUAUGGCGAGGACUCUAGCGAGACUGCCGGUGUCAAACCGGAGGAAGGUGGGGAUGACGUCAAGUCAGCAUGGCCCUUAUGCCUAGGGAUGCAAACGUGCUACAAUGGCAUGGACAAAGCGAUGCAAUACCGCGAGGUGGAGCAAAUCGCAAAAACCAUGCCCCAGUUCGGAUAGCAGGCUGAAAUUCGCCUGCUUGAAGCCGGAAUCGCUAGUAAUCGCGUAUCAGCUACGACGCGGUGAAUACGUUCCUGAGCCUU
rnacentral:rRNA from 1 species